rnacentral:lncRNA from 11 species
GCAAGCCUAAAGGUUUCUCAUUCAAUGUGGGUCAGCAUAUAUUAAAGGAAACAUGAUGGCAAUAUUGUCUUUUCCAGUGAUCCAUGUCUUCUUGUG